GACGAACGCUGGCGGCGUGCCUAAUACAUGCAAGUAGAACGCACAGUUUAUACCGUAGCUUGCUACACCAUAAACUGUGAGUUGCGAACGGGUGAGUAACGCGUAGGUAACCUGCCUGGUAGCGGGGGAUAACUAUUGGAAACGAUAGCUAAUACCGCAUAAUAUUAAUUAUUGCAUGAUAAUUGAUUGAAAGAUGCAAUUGCAUCACUACCAGAUGGACCUGCGUUGUAUUAGCUAGUAGGUGAGGUAACGGCUCACCUAGGCGACGAUACAUAGCCGACCUGAGAGGGUGAUCGGCCACAAUGGGACUGAGACACGGCCCAGACUCCUACGGGAGGCAGCAGUAGGGAAUCUUCGGCAAUGGACGAAAGUCUGACCGAGCAACGCCGCGUGAGUGAAGAAGGGUUUCGGAUCGUAAAGCUCUGUUGUAAGAGAAGAACGGGUGUGAGAGUGGAAAGUUCACACUGUGACGGUAUCUUAACAGAAAGGGACGGCUAACUACGUG
rnacentral:rRNA from 1 species